GACGAACGCUGGCGGCGUGCCUAAUACAUGCAAGUAGAACGCAGUUGCGAAAGGGUGAGUAACGCGUAGGUAACUGCCUGGUAGAGGGGGAUAACUAUUGGAAAAGAUAGCUAAUACCGCAUACUACCAGAUGGACAUGCGUUGUAUUAGCUAGUUGGUGAGGUAACGGCGCACCAAGGCAACGAUACAUAGCCGAGCGUCGAGGUUUCUCGGCCACCAUGUGACUUGGACACUGCCCAGACUCCUACUGGAGGCAGCAGUAGGGAAUCUUCGGCCAUGGGGGGCACCCUGACCGAGCUACGGCGCGUGAGUGAGGAUGGUUGUCGGAUCGUAAAACUCGGUUGUGUAGGAAGCGUUGCUUACCCAGAAAGGGACUGCUGACUACGUGCCAGCAGCCGCGGUAAUAC
rnacentral:rRNA from 1 species